rnacentral:lncRNA from 1 species
GUUGACAUGCUUCGACGUACGGCAAUUGAAUACUUUGAAUUUUAUUGUCAGGAAUUGCGCCAAGCGCGCGACACUUCUUUACUAUUUCGGAUAGUGUCUGGAACGCACGCAACAAAACGCCGCUAUUCGGAUAUAACGAUGGAUUAUUUUGGACCAAACCAACAUUUGUUAUUGAAGUAGACGUCCUGGGUGUGCAUUCUGACGAAGACAACAAAAGGACCUGAGCCCUAGGACCAUGCCUCAUGACUACCUGGCUUGAUGACUCCUUGCUGUCCCCAGUUCACCUGGCCGUGCUGCUGCUCCAGUUCCAACUGUUCUGCCUGCAGCUAUGGAACCCUGACCUGUUCACCGGAUGUGCUACCUGUCCCAGACCUGCUGUUUUCAACUCUCUAGAGACAGCAGGAGCAGUAGAGAUACUCUCAAAGAUUGGCUAUGAAAAAGCCAACUGACACUUACUCUUGUGUUACUGACUUGUUGCACCCUCGACAACUACUAUGAUUAUUAUUAUUAUUUGACCAUGCUGGUCAUUUAUGAACAUUUGAACAUCUUGGCCAUGUGCUGUUAUAAUCUCCACCCGGCACAGCCAGAAGAGGACUGGCCACCCCUCAUAGCCUGGUUCCUCUCUAGGUUUCUUCCUAGGUUUUGGCCUUUCUAGGGAGUUUUUCCUAGCCACCGUGCUUCUUCACCUGCAUUGCUUGCUGUUUGGGGAUUUAGGCUGGGUUUCUGCACAGCACUUUGAGAUAUCAGCUGAUGUAAGAAGGGCUAUAUAAAUACAUUUGAUUUGAUUUACUGUCUUUCCAAGCUAGUCGGAAGACUUCCAGUUUGGUGUGGCGCCAUUUCCGUUCCAAUUUUCUGGAAGCUUUUACUUGUGACUCUCCACACCUUUAGUGCACAUGCACUCACUCAUGCACACACCCACACAGACAUAUAAAUUCAUGCUACAAACACACACACACACACACACAUCACAAUUGCUGCUACAAGAUUCCUAUUUACUAUUGCUAAUACUGCACAAUUUAAACACUUGACCCCCAAUCGCUUCUCUGAUUCAUGUGUAAAUAUUGUACCAUAAAUUGUGCAUUCCUGUAUUAUACUCCGUGCUGAUUUUAGCAUGUAAAUCUUGGUGGGGCAAACUCAAAAAUAUUUGUUUUAUGUAUGCCAGCAAAGCCACUACACACAACACUAAACAAUACAUUAUUGCACUAUAACAGUGACAAACGAUGCCCACAAACAGUUAGGGCCCACAAAGAGACGAUUUUAGUAUGUAAAUAUUGGUGGGGGCAAACUCCCCCCAAAACUGUUUGAUGCGUGCCAGCAAAGCCACUACACAACACUAAACAAUACAUGAAUUGCACUAUAAUGGUGACAACCGGUGCCCACAAACUGUUAAGGCCUACAUAAAACCUACAGCUCACCUUGUUGUGCGGGGCUCACUUGAACGAGGUGGUCUUGGCAGUCCUUGUGGCAAAUUUUGUCAUCAAACUUUGCCAUCAAAGUCUGGCAUUCUCUGGAUUUAUGGUGAUUUCAAGACAACUGGGAACUCUGAGGAAAAACAAGGUUGAAUCAUGACGUCUGUGAUCUUCAGGUCGGAGCUCUUGAAAGAGGUCUGAGUUUUCGAAUUGGAAUUCCGAGUUGGAAUGACGUUUCAAGAAGUAUUUUGCCAGUUGGAACUCUUCCCCCCCCUGAGUUCCCAGUUGUCUUGAAGUUACUGAAGUCUGAGAUUUCCCAGGUCCUAGUUUCAGUUGUUUUGAACGUGGCAGAAAUCACACUGGAUUGACAACACGGCCAAUGUAUUCAACGUUUUCUGGCCCAUGGUGUCAAAUGUUUAUCCUUUUAAGCUUGGAAAAGAAACCCUUAAACCCAGACCACACACCCACUCCACUGAAUAGCAGGCUAGGGAUUGCUUUUCAACACCUGCAGUUAGUUACUGAUUCCUUCCAAAGCACUCAUUGUUGAAUUUGCGAUUUCCAACUUGUCUAAUGUUUGUGUCCAAUAGCUGAUGAGCACUGAUAUGUUUUAUCAAUAAUUUCUCUUCAUAUGACAAAGAUUGAAAAGGAUUUUCCAGUAGAUUGUCUGUGAUUCAUGAUGAUUACUGCUUGUCUAGCUUGCUAGCUAAGAUUUUGAAAGAAUGAUCAUUCCAAUCAAAGCUACCGUAGAUAUAAUGUAAUUUGAUGUAAUUUUAUCUGUGGCCAAUGACCUUGAGCUUUCUUGAAUGGGCACUUCUAAUUUUAUGCCAGCACCCAAAGGGCUUGAAUUUUAGAGCUCUCCCGUAGAUUCUGCUUUGACGUAGUGUCCGCAUGAGUGACAGAACACUGAGCCAAUCACUGCACAACUAGAGAUCAUUAGCAACCCCUAAGCGCUGUAUUUUCCACUGGCUACAACACCACCACAGAAAACAUUGAGCUAGGCUGACAUCUGCAUUUUGGUGCUGCCUUACUCAAGAAAGCAAAAAAGAGACCAUGUUGGUAUGCAGCUUUAUUAACUCAGUGAUACAUUUUUUGUACAUUGUUUGCAAACUGAUAUGCGACACGUAUUAAUGCAAAAAUAACAUGUAAAACAUGCA